rnacentral:rRNA from 1 species
UGGGGAAUAUUGGACAAUGGGGGCAACCCUGAUCCAGCCAUGCCGCGUGAGUGAUGAAGGCCUUCGGGUUGUAAAGCUCUUUUGGCGGGGACGAUGAUGACGGUACCCGCAGAAUAAGCCCCGGCUAACUUCGUGCCAGCAGCCGCGGUAAGACGAAGGGGGCUAGCGUUGUUCGGAAUUACUGGGCGUAAAGCGAGUGUAGGUGGUUGUCAUAGUCAGGUGUGAAAGCCUUGAGCUCAACUCAAGAAAUGCACUUGAUACUGGGCGACUAGAGGACCGGAGAGGAUAGUGGAAUUCCCAGUGUAGUGGUGAAAUACGUAGAGAUUGGGAAGAACACCAGUGGCGAAGGCGGCUAUCUGGACGGUUUCUGACACUAAGACUCGAAAGCGUGGGGAGCAAACAGGAUUAGAUACCCCAGUAGUCCCUGAGCGGGCUGGCAAGGCGCAU